GCUGCUAACGGCAAGCGGAGGGGACAAUAACACAGCGUUAAAGCAGGAGCCCAGUCAGUGUUGAGUGCAGAGGUGGAAUUGUUGCACCGACCCGCAGCUCCGAACCGCUACUUGCUCCUCAGGCAAAACACUUAUCGGCACGGCUAAUUCUCCUGCCUAGCAGAAAAUCCCCGUACCCAUGUCUCAUCUCGCGAGAGUUCGUGUCACGGCUACACGUAAGCGACAGCUGCUAACGGCAAGCGGAGGGGACAAUAACACAGCGUUAAAGCAGGAGCCCAGUCAGAGUGCAGAGGUGGAAUUGUUGCACCGAAUUAUGGCGCCAAAGAAGCUAAUUAUGUUGAGUUAAAAUCAACCGGAAUGACAAAGACCAAACAUGCAAUCCCAAGGACACGUUGACCCAACAUGUUUUGGCAAAGAGCCUGAACGAGACACACCAAUUGUACGUCGCUGUAGCCACCAAAGUUGGGACAACUACAUGGUGUACAUGUCAGUGAAGACAGAAGAGGAAUCCUACUGUUCCAUGGAGCUCAAAUGUCAACAAGAAAUAUCUACAAGAUGGCUGCAUCUACGAUAGCAGAAAAUUUAUGUGAAAAUGUCUAACAAAAACCCAUCUCGAAUAUUUACUGGCCAUUUGAAACCUGCAAGGCCCCACAGAUGAAAUUAGCAGCAACAACAGAAUACUAAGACAGACUGCAUAUCAGUCAUUCAUCACUUGGCUACUUAGGCCGCCCCAAUAGGAAACCUAUACCGGCCUGUGUAGUCCAAAAGGUUUGCAGCACUUUCCCAGACCCUAAACGACAUUAUAGGGGAUCUUUGCAGCCAUUUGAUUUUAAUGCUUUUGAUAUGGCUUUGGGGUGAUCAUUGUUUUGUUUCGUCUGUUUUGUUUUGUAUUUUUUAAUUGCUGGUUGUGUUUUUUUAAUCUUUUAAAAUAUUUACUAUUUUUUUUAAUAAACAAAAAAAACACACAAACA